rnacentral:rRNA from 1 species
AGUGGGGAAUAUUGCGCAAUGGGGGGAACCCUGACGCAGCGACGCCGCGUGAGCGAAGAAGGCCUUAGGGUCGUAAAGCUCUGUUAUAAGGGACGAAAAUUAUCUAUGUAAACAAUGUAGAUAAAAGACGGUACCUAAUGAGCAAGCCCCGGCUAACUAUGUGCCAGCAGCCGCGGUAAGACAUAGGGGGCUAGCGUUGUCCGGAAUUACUGGGCGUAAAGAGCACGUAGGCGGGGAUUUAAGUCAGGUGUGAAAGACCGCAGCUUAACUGCGGGGUUGCACAUGAAACUGGAUUUCUUGAGGGCAGGAGAGGAAAGCAGAAUUCCUGGUGUAGCGGUGAAAUGCGUAGAAAUCAGGAGGAAUACCGGUGGCGAAGGCGGCUUUCUGGACUGACCCUGACGCUGAGGUGCGAAAGCGUGGGUAGCAAACAGGAUUAGAUACCCUGGUAGUCCACGCCGUAAACUAUGGAUACUAGGUGUAGGAGGUAUCG